GGCUCAAUGACUUUGACAGCAGUGAUAACAGAGUGCCGGAAGGUAGAUUCAGAUGACUUUCUGCUUGGCCCUCCUGUUUAUGUCCUUGGUUUUUAUAAAAUGUCAUUGGGUCAAGGUUUUGGCCAGAGAAUAGCAAGGAUGACUUAUCUCUGCUCCACUAUGUCUGGAACCUCUUGGAAUCAUUUGGAGUCUUCUUCACUCUCUUGCCUGGCACCUGGACUGGGAAAACUUGGAACCCACUGGGACUGUUGACCAAAGCACAAACAUGUGGCCUCUUCAUGUGGCUUGGGCUUUCCACAGCAUGGAGGCUGAUUUCUGAGGAGAGGCCCAAAAAUAAUAUACACAAAGAGAGAAGCAGAUGGAAUUUUGAGAGAGAAAAGGAGGAGGUAAAAUGAAGACAGGCAGAGAUGGGAGUGGUGCAGCCAAGAGCCAAGCAACACCUGGCGCCACCAGCAGCUGGAAGAGGAAAAGAAGAGAUUUAUCUCCAGAGUCUUAGGAGGAAGCACAGCAGUGCUUUAAUUUUGGACUUCUGGCUUCCACAAUAAGAAGAGAAUAAAUCGAUGUUGCCUUAGUCCAUCCAGUUUAUGGUAAUUUGUUACAGCACUCUAGGAAACUAAUACAACAAACAAGGCCUGACUGAACAGAGUGGAAAGUUAGCAGAGAGGAAGGAGAGGUGAGACCCUUCUCUUGGCCUAGUGAGAUCUGUUCCCUUAUUGUAGAAGAAAUGUGGGACUCUCUUCUUUUGUGACAUAUGACAAAGUUUUGGCAGGUGGGAAGGAGUGGAGGGCUUUUCAACCUUUUGGGCUAGAUUUCAUCAGUGAUUCCAUGGCAAAGGCUAAAUGUGUUUCAGCACUAUGUUUAAAGUCUGCUGGUUUUACACAUUCAAAUUCUACCCCAACUCAUAUUUCCUGCCUGCUUCUAUCUGUAUUCUCCAGACACAGCAUCAUCUCUCACAUUCUGAAAUAAAAGUGA
rnacentral:lncRNA from 1 species